rnacentral:rRNA from 1 species
CAUGCAAGUCGUGCGAGAAAGUAUCUUCGGAUAUGAGUAGAGCGGCGGACGGGUGAGUAACGCGUAGGAAUCUACCUAGUAGAAGGGGAUAGCCCGAGGAAACUCGGAUUAAUACCGUAUACCUCCUUCGGGAGAAAGAAGGCCUCUCUUUGAAGCUUUCGCUACUAGAUGAGCCUGCGUAAGAUUAGCUUGUUGGUGAGGUAAAGGCUCACCAAGGCUACGAUCUUUAGCGGGUCUGAGAGGACGAUCCGCCACAUUGGGACUGAGACACGGCCCAGACUCCUACGGGAGGCAGCAGUGGGGAAUAUUGGACAAUGGGCGCAAGCCUGAUCCAGCCAUACCGCGUGUGUGAAGAAGGCCCUAGGGUUGUAAAGCACUUUAAGUUGGGAAGAAAAGUUAUUGGCUAAUACCCAAUGACCGUGACAUUACCAUCAGAAUAAGGACCGGCUAAUUCCGUGCCAGCAGCCGCGGUAAUACGGAAGGUCCAAGCGUUAAUCGGAAUUACUGGGCGUAAAGCGCGCGUAGGUGGUUUAUUAAGUUGGGUGUGAAAUCCCCGGGCUCAACCUGGGAACUGCAUCCAAAACUGAUUCACUAGAGUACGAUAGAGGGAGGUAGAAUUCACAGUGUAGCGGUGGAAUGCGUAGAUAUUGUGAAGAAUACCAAUGGCGAAGGCAGCCUCCUGGAUCUGUACUGACACUGAGGUGCGAAAGCGUGGGUAGCGAACAGGAUUAGAUACCCUGGUAGUCCACGCCGUAAACGAUGUCAACUAUCUGUUGGAAAGCAUUGCUUUUCAGUGGAGCAGCUAACGUAAUAAGU